rnacentral:rRNA from 1 species
AACGAACGCUGGCGGCAGGCUUAACACAUGCAAGUCGAACGCAUCGCAAGAUGAGUGGCAGACGGGUGAGUAACGCGUGGGAAUCUACCCAGUUCUACGGAACAACAGUUGGAAACGACUGCUAAUACCGUAUACGCCCCACGGGGGAAAGAUUUAUCGGAAUUGGAUGAGCCCGCGUAAGAUUAGCUAGUUGGUGGGGUAAUGGCCUACCAAGGCGACGAUCUUUAGCUGGUCUGAGAGGAUGAUCAGCCACACUGGGACUGAGACACGGCCCAGACUCCUACGGGAGGCAGCAGUGGGGAAUACUGGACAAUGGGCGCAAGCCUGAUCCAGCCAUGCCGCGUGAGUGAUGAAGGCCUUAGGGUUGUAAAGCUCUUUCACCGAUGAAGAUAAUGACGGUAGUCGGAGAAGAAGCCCCGGCUAACUUCGUGCCAGCAGCCGCAGUAA